AUACGGAGGGUGCAAGCGUUAAUCGGAAUUACUGGGCGUAAAGGGUUCGUAGGCGGUUAUUUAAGUCAGAUGUGAAAGCCCCGGGCUCAACCUGGGAAUUGCAUCUGAUACUGGGUAACUAGAGUUUAAGAGAGGAGUGUGGAAUUUCCGGUGUAGCGGUGAAAUGCAUAGAGAUCGGAAGGAACAUCAGUGGCGAAGGCGGCACUCUGGCUUAAAACUGACGCUGAGGAACGAAAGCGUGGGUAGCAAACAGGAUUAGAAACCCUAGUAGUCC
rnacentral:rRNA from 1 species